rnacentral:lncRNA from 1 species
GUAGUGAUCGGUAGUACAGAAUAUCAUACCAAAAACUAAAGUACAAUACACAAUACAGUUUCACAGAAUUCUCACAGUUACUAAAGCGAGCUAAAAGUAUCUAACCUAAAUUGGAUGCGUGAAAUGAUAUUGUAAACUACACGUAAACAUGGAUGAUCGACUUCAGGGUAGAUUUUAUGAAUCAAAUUAAAAACUCUUGCACCUAUUGUACGACCUACCUAUUGUAUUUAAAAUUUAUGUGUUAUAGUCAUUAACAGGCAUGAAAUAUUUGCUACUGGACUUAAAGCAAACAACAAUCAAUCAAUUUGAUUAAUAUCUCUGUUACAGUACUAGUACUUGGCACACAAAGACAAGAUCUUGUAAAAUGCUAUAAUUUACAAUUUUCAUUUAAAUUUUUAUGUUGUUUUCUUUUCUUUUUUUCUUUUUUUUUGGGGGGGGGGGGUCUCUUCAGUUUAUCACAUAAAUGACUGCUUAUUCAAAAGUUUUAGAUAUUUUUUUACUAUUGUUCUUAUCUAAUGUUUAAAUACGAUUUAUAACAUAUGAUUUUUUUUGUCAGGCAAGGAUAAAACUAAGAAAGAUAAAAGUUUUUUCAGGUGUUUUUGCUUCAUUUAGACACGAAAAGGGAAUAACGGACGACUAAAUUAAAGUGUUUGUUUUCAUAUAAUAUAUUGAACUUGCGAAUAUAUCUCACCCAACACGUUUUGAUCGGGACAGUGAAACCUAGUUCAAUACGGUUUUAUUCAUUGAAGUUUGCAUGCAUAGUUCUUAUUUAAAAAAAAAAAACACAAAUAAAGCAAGAUCUAUUAAUUGAUUGGACUGAAUAGACAACACUAAUUAUUUUGCAUUCGCAUGUAUCUUAAUGUAGGAAAAUUACCAAAUCAGAAACAAAAGGAACAUUUGCCGGAUGAAUAUUGUGAAGGACCUUAUGCAUCUAGGACUGUCCGAUUAAAAGUUCUUAAACAAGCUGUUUAAAAAGCUAAUUGUUGGAAGAGUUUACUUACUGUUUUCUAAGGUCUGAUUUUUACGAUUCUAUUUCAUGAUUACUGACAGAUCAAAAACAUCAAGUAUAUAUAGCAUGAAGUUGUUGGG